rnacentral:rRNA from 1 species
UACAGAGGGUGCUAGCGUUGUUCGGAAUCAUUGGGCGUAAAGGGCGCGUAGGCGGCUUGGCAAGUGGAUGGUGAAAUCCCUCGGCUUAACCGAGGAACUGCCGUCCAAACUGCUUCGCUUGAGACCGGGAGAGGUGAGUGGAAUUCCCAGUGUAGCGGUGAAAUGCGUAGAUAUUGGGAGGAACACCAGUGGCGAAGGCGGCUCACUGGACCGGUACUGACGCUGAUGCGCGAAAGCGUGGGGAGCAAACGGG